UUGUCACUGCUGGUAUUACUUAGCAAGUGACACAGCCUAGAUUCUGAAAUCAUAGCUUAAUGUAUGCGUUUUUCCCCUGCUACCUUCCCGGAGGCCAGCAGGUCCCCUGCUACCUUCCCAGAGGCCAGCAGGUCCAGUUAACCUAUUUCUCCCUGCUACCUUCUCGGAGGCCAGCAGGUCCGGUUAACCUGUUCUUCCCUGCUACCUUCUCGGAGGCCAGCAGGUCCCCUGCUACCUUCCCGGAGGCCAGCAGGUCUAGUUUAAUCUGUUUUCCCUGCUACCUUCUCGGAGGCCAGCAGGUCCCCUGCUACCUUCUCGGAGGCCAGCAGGUCUGGUUUAAUCUGUUUUCCCUACUACCUUCUCGGAGGCCAGCAGGUCUGGUUUAAUCUGUUUUCCCUACUACCUUCUCGGAGGCCAGCAGGUCCCCUGCUACCUUCUCGGAGGCCAGCAGG